ACAUCCAGCUUAUAUCUCAGAGCAGCAAGGUCACCCACAAUAACAAGCAAAUGGGUGCCCCUCCCAUUGUGGACUCAUCUACGACUGGUUGGGGGUCCUGCGAAGAAAGUGACUAAAGAGUGAUGCAAGCAGGCUGAUGGACUUAAAACAACCCAGUAAUACCCAACAGGUGGAAGAAUGAAAGUUAACAUAUGAGCCAGUCAUGGUAAUGUAUGCCUGUGGUUUCAGCAUUGGGAAGGCUGAGGAAGAAGGCAAGUUUGAGGCUAGCAUGGGCUACAAAAAGAGACUCUCUCAAAUAAUGAAAGGAAAAUAAAUUAAGAAUGAAGACAACAUGUUUUGUAAAGGUUGAGCUGAAUAAAUGACUAAAGAUUUUAA